CCAGCUCGUGGAGGAUCAUCACGUAGAGAAGGAAAAUAAGAAUCCUGGGAUCCAUGCGUGGCACCUCGGGGUCUGCUUCAUUGGGUACAGAACUUUCAUUCACAGGACCUGCAGAAGAAGGAGAGACACCAACCCUCCCUGCUGGGCUGCCUCUCACCCCGGCAGAGGUGGAGCUGUGCUCUAACACUGGUGCUUUCCCCCUUUCCUGAGCACAGGCCCUGCUGAGGAGGAGAAGCAGCACAAGGACUCACCUCAGCCCAGCUUUGUCCUUCUCCUCAAACUCCCCUGGCAGGUCCAGCAGGCCAAAAUCCACCCACACAGAUGGUUUGGCUGCUUUCUGAGAGGUUAUCCUUCCAGCUGGACUGACCUCCUUAUCUUCAGUGUGCUAAAUGGAUUCUCCUCAAUCUGCUGAUGGUCCUUCCUGCACUACAGAGGGCAAGAACAGAGAAGAGACCUGGGAAGGAGCAGGGGAUGCAGAGAAUAUCCAGGAAUGGCGAAGCCUGGAGCAACCACAGGGCCCCAGCCCUGUCUGGUGUGUCCUCAGCACUGAGUGACCUUGAGUGGAGCUGCUCUCAAUCCAUGUUUUACACCCACCUGAACCUCCAAGGAGCUGAUCUGCCCUUGUUUUUAAGGCUGAGCCUGGCUCUGGUGCUGGGAAGGAUAACCAGAGCAUGCCUGAGACAUGAGGAUGGAGCUUGGACUGGCACACAAGCCCUGCAGAGCUCAGUCCUUACUCACACAACAGCCUGGACAGGAAAUAAAGGUCAGAAAGAAGGUGGAGAGAGCAGAGAGCUCUGAGGUCACAGCAGGAUCUAUCAGAGCUGCAAAGACAGUUGCAGAAACACUUCCUGCUCCUGAAAAGCUGCUCCACCAGGACAUCUCCCCAGGGAUACAGCUGUAUUCACAGGGGCAUUUGUAUGCCAGGACCACUGUACAAAAGGAAACAUGGAACAGUAUCUGUGUGCCAUCCAUCAGAACUGGGUUGCAGAGGCCAGGAACUCUGAAUUGCCCCACAUGCUCAGUCCCCUCUGCUUCUGGAGAGACUCAGAGCACCAGGGCACAGCUCCUGCCCCACACAGCCCUGCUGCUGGGCACCUCCAAACACCACCUCCCUUCAACUGAGACAACCCCAGCAGGAGCAGAGCUAAAACAGCAUUUGCAGCAGCUGCAAAUACCCUUGUACCCACCCACAGGCAAAAUCGGGGCUGUUCUCCACCCUCCAAUGGCUGAACUAGUCUGCAAAAGGAGUUAAGAAGAAAAUAAAGAUAUAGAAAAACAAUUAACUCUAUCCCAGCUGAAACCAGGACAAGAAGUAACAAGAUUUUUCGUGUCACUUCAUUUUCUGGGCUAAGUGCAACUCUUCCAAAGUGAAAGACAGACAUUCAUUCCGAGCAGCUGGGGACAAGGGGAUCCUCAUUUACAGGGAACGUCCCAAACCCAACCCCCCACCACGCACAACUCACCAGAAUUAACCCAAAGCCUGCAGCUUGCAGCAGCUCUGCCAGAAAAGUCUCUUGGAGAGGGAUAACUCAGUUUUCUGCUGUGCAGCAUCUGCUCCAGCCUUUGUCAGACACUCCUUUCCAUGUCCAUCUUCCCUCCAGCCAUCUGCACCACAACCCAUCCAUUGUUCCCAGCCGCUUUCCCAAGGGAUCCAGCACCCACAGCACUAAGAACAGGGUGUUCUGCCAAGGAGCAGAUGCUUUUGAGCAUUCACAAGUGUGAGGAUGCCUGACAGUGCCUUCAGCUGUCCCAUUCCCACCUCUUGUCAUCCUGUAAGUGCCAGUCUCACGGAGCCUGAAGCACCUCGCUGGGCUCUGGGUUGCUCUGCUCUCCCAGCAAAGCCCUCAGUGAGGACCAGGUUGCUCAAACUGAUUAGAAUUCAUUGUAAAAAUUCACUCCCCGGUCAGGCAUGGCAGGUUUGGAGAGAAUCCACAGUUUGUUCACAUCACAGGUAUCACACCCCUCUUGUAAAGACAAACUGCGACCUGAGUGUAAGCAGGGAGCGAUCCCAGCUCCCUGCCAGGGAUCCCAGGGCAGGCAGGGCUGCACCACCCUCUAGUGCACACCCAGAGCAGUGCCUGCCCGCACAGCAGCCCUGCCAGCCCCAGGAGCACGGCCAGGACAGGGCAGGAGGGAAAA